CUUCUUCUCCUCCAAUCCAAAAUGAGAUCCCCAUCCUCAUCCACGACAACUGCGUCAGGCGAAUCACCUCCUCAACAGAGUAAAUCAUGUUACCCCAACGAGCAACUCAACACAUACGCACCAAACUAACCUCUACAUCAUCAACACGAGAUGAGGAGGCUAAAGACUUUUUCAUCCCAGUUGUUACAACCAUCCCUGCAAGAUUUGGGUAUUUGUAUAAGAGGUAUGAAACCAUAUUGACAUUGCACUCCCACACCCCCACACCCUCAAUGACUCUCCGAGAAGAGAAUGCAAACACAAUAUGUAAUGUCUACUAAGUUACUAACUGCUUCCAGCAAAUAUAAAGUGCCCAUAAUUAAAUUAAAUUGAUGAGUUGAAAGACACAAACCUGCAAGAACUUCCACUUUUGAGACCAGUGCCUAGGGGUAGGUACUGUAUUUCUGUAUGCCUUGUGUCACUGUUUAUACAUAAGUACAUCAGAUACGACUGAGCCAAAUUACAG
rnacentral:lncRNA from 1 species